rnacentral:RNase_P_RNA from 1 species
AGCCAGCUAGGCAGUCGCUGCCAUCGAUUGAUGGGAGAGGAAAGUCCGGGCUCCAUAGGGUAGAACGCCAGGUAACGCCUGGGGGGUGCGAGCCUACGGAAAGUGCAGCAGAGAGUAGACCGCCGAUGGCUUUCUUGGACCUCUAGGGGGAAAAGAAAGCACAGGUAAGGGUGAAAGGGUGCGGUAAGAGCGCACCGCGCAGCUGGCAACAGUUUGUGGCAUGGUAAACCCCGUUCGGAGCAAGACCAAAUAGGCCCACUAUAGGCGUGUACCCGCGCUGUGGGCGGGUAGGUUGCUAAAGUGUUGCGGUGACGUAAUGCGUAGAUGAAUGACUGUCCACGACAGAACCCGGCUUAUCGGCUGGCUCA